rnacentral:rRNA from 1 species
GUGAGGAAUAUUGCGCAAUGGAGGCAACUCUGACGCAGCCAUGCCGCGUGCAGGAAGAAGGCGCUACGCGUUGUAAACUGCUUUUAACCGGGAAGAAACCCCAGGACGUGUCCUGGGUUGACGGUACCGGAGGAAUAAGCACCGGCUAACUUCGUGCCAGCAGCCGCGGUAAUACGAAGGGUGCAAGCGUUAUCCGGAUUCAUUGGGUUUAAAGGGUGCGUAGGCGGCGCGUUAAGUCAGUGGUGAAAUCCUGCAGCUUAACUGUAGACUUGCCAUUGAUACUGGCGCUCUUGAGUGCGCUUGAAGUGGGCGGAAUGUGCCGUGUAGCGGUGAAAUGCUUAGAUAUGGCACAGAACACCAAUUGCGAAGGCAGCUCACUAAGGCGAUACUGACGCUGAGGCACGAAAGCGUGGGGAUCGAACAGGAUUAGAUACCCUAGUAGUCC